ACCAAACGCCGUCGUUUCAGUUAUCACCUCUCAUUUUCCGAUAACACCGGCAAACCUUUGAAAACUCGCCGGAGACGUUAAAUACCUAUUACCGGCGACGAAAAACAGUCGAGGAAUUAAAUUAGCUCAUCAUCUCCGACGACAAUGGAAACAGAAGUUCAAUCUAAUUUCACUUAUAUGGGAAGAACAUUUACCGGUCUCGGAAUUAAUGAAUCUUCGUCUGCUUUCAGCGACUGCAAUAGCGAUAGAUCCGGUGAGUUUCCGACGACUUCUUCUCAAAGCCGGCGGUUAUUAAUUGCGUGUGCGUCGGAUAAUUAUAACUCCGAUGAAUUGAUUCAACAAC
rnacentral:lncRNA from 1 species